GAUGAACGCUGGCGGCGUGCCUAAUACAUGCAAGUCGAGCGAACGGACGAGAAGCUUGCUUCUCUGAUGUUAGCGGCGGACGGGUGAGUAACACGUGGAUAACCUACCUCUAAGACUGGGAUAACUUCGGGAAACCGGAGCUAAUACCGGAUAAUAUUUUGAACCGCAUUGUUCAAAAGUGAAAGACGGUCUUGCUGUCACUUAUAGAUGGCUACGCGCUGCAUUAGCUAGUUGGUAAGGUAACUGCUUACCAAGGCAACGAGGCAUAACCGACCUGAGCGGGAGGACGGCCAGACUGGAACUGAGGAACAGUCCAGACGCCGACGGGGGGCAACAGUAGAGAAUCUUCCGCGAGGGGCGAAAGCCGAACGGAGCAACACCGGGGGAAGGAUGAAGGACUACGGAUCGGAAAACUAUGUUAGUAGGGGAGAACAAAAGUGUAAGUAACUGUGCACAUCUUGACGGUACCGAGACAAAAAGCCACGGCUAACUACGUG
rnacentral:rRNA from 1 species